GGUGAAUGAUCUAUUGAUGGUUUAAAUCAAAGACAUUGACUAGCUAGGUGUAAAGUUUAUUAAUAAUUGAACCAUAGUGCAUUUGUGGAUACAAGAUAAGAUGUCAUAGUGCACAACUUGAUCAAUUGUUUGGUCAGAAAAAAAACUUGAUCAAUCGUAGCCAGCACUGCCUUAUUGUUUUGAUGCUAGCUAGCUACCUACUGCAGAUUGGAGAAAGAUCAGGAAGAUUUAUUGUUAAUGAGACUUACAGUGGAUAUAUACCAAAAACCAG
rnacentral:lncRNA from 1 species